rnacentral:rRNA from 1 species
UAAGGAAUAUUGGUCAAUGGAGGCAACUCUGAACCAGCCAUGCCGCGUGCAGGAAGACAGCCCUCUGGGUCGUAAACUGCUUUUAUUCGGAAAUAAACCCAUCUACGUGUAGAUGGCUGAAUGUACCGAAGGAAUAAGGAUCGGCUAACUCCGUGCCAGCAGCCGCGGUAAUACGGAGGAUCCAAGCGUUAUCCGGAUUUAUUGGGUUUAAAGGGUGCGUAGGCGGCUUAUUAAGUCAGGGGUGAAAGACGGUGGCUCAACCAUCGCAGUGCCUUUGAUACUGAUGAGCUUGAAUAUACUAGAGGUAGGCGGAAUGUGACAAGUAGCGGUGAAAUGCAUAGAUAUGUCACAGAACACCGAUUGCGAAGGCAGCUUACUAUGGUAUUAUUGACGCUGAGGCACGAAAGCGUGGGGAUCAAACAGG